UGGCGAUGAUUUGAUAUUUAUCCGCGCUUCUGAGAGCAAUCUAUGAAGCAUAAAAGGUAAAAUAAUGGUUGAAUUUCUUAAUAUGAGCCA